GGAGAUAGGGCAAUUUCAUAACAAGAGCGCUACGUUCUUUGAAGAACAUGCAAAGCGUUACAUCUCGAAAUUGUAACAUUACUGUCUAAAAAAAUUAAAUAGAAUGAUUUUUUUUCAUCAAUGUAGCAAGGUUUUUAUGAGCUUCAUCACAAUUUGAUAUGCCACGUCAGAGAAGAAACAGAGUCGCUCAAGCCCAGGAGGUGAGGAGAAAUGAAGUCCAUGGAUUGAUAAAGUGUAUCAAGAAAAAAAGUCCAUUUAACUACAGAGCUGGAAUAUCUAUCGGGGUGAUGCAGUUUGUUUUGGGUAUCAUCUCAGUGGCCUUAUCAUUGUACGUCAUUACCUACUACCACUGGGACAUCAUAGAUUAUCCACGAGUUGGAGUUUGGGCUGGCGUUUUUUGUUAUAUUCCAGCUGGUGUCCUUGGGUUUCUCUCUAAGAAGCAGCACACAUGGAUGGUGUGUUUUUAUAUGCUAUGGUGUAUCUUUGCUGCCUUUGCUGGUCCACUUAUGACUGUAUUCGAAGGUAUCGUGGCCGGUGUAGGAUCUCUUGUAUUCGCAUGUAAAAGUCUGCUUGGACCACUAUUUGAUGUACCCCUUGUAAGCACGGUAGUUAACGAAAGACUAUGCGAGAAGUUUGGCAUCGAGG